UACGGAGGGUGCGAGCGUUGUCCGGAAUCACUGGGCGUAAAGGGCGCGUAGGUGGCCCGCGCAAGCGUGCGGUGAAAGCCCGGGGCUCAACCCCGGGUCGGCCGUGCGGACUGCGGGGCUGGAGCACUGUAGGGGCGGGUGGAAUUCCGGGUGUAGCGGUGGAAUGCGUAGAGAUCCGGAAGAACACCGGUGGCGAAGGCGGCCCGCUGGGCAGUUGCUGACACUGAGGCGCGACAGCGUGGGGAGCAAA
rnacentral:rRNA from 1 species